UCCCUGGUGGUCCAGUGGUUAAGACUCUGCACUUCUACUGCAGGUGGGCACGGGUUCGAUCCCUGGUCGGGGAA